AGGAUUAACGCUGGCGGCGUGCCUAACACAUGCAAGUCGAACGAGGUAGCAAUACCUAGUGGCAGACGGGUGAGUAGCGCGUGGUCAACCUACCGUUGAGUGGGGGAUAACUAGCCGAAAGGUUAGCUAAUACCGCAUACGUCUCCGAGGGGCAUCCCUUGGUGAUAAAAGGAGCAAUCCGCUCGAUGACGGGACCGCGUCCCAUUAGCUAGUUGGUGGGGUAACGGCCUACCAAGGCAUCGAUGGGUAGCUGGUUUGAGAGAGCGACCAGCCACACUGGGACUGAGAUACGGCCCAGACUCCUACGGGAGGCAGCAGUGAGGAAUUUUCCGCAAUGGGCGAAAGCCUGACGGAGCGACGCCGCGUGUGGGAAGAAGGCCUUCGGGUCGUAAACCACUGUCGAAGGGAAGAUAAUGACGGUACCCUUGGAGGAAGCCCCGGCUAACUACGUGCCAGCAGCCGC
rnacentral:rRNA from 1 species